rnacentral:rRNA from 1 species
CGUGCGGGCAGAUUGGAGCUCUUGUGCACUACCUUGGCCUCUAUGCCGAUACAUGCUAUGAUGGCGAUUGACCUGCAGGUAAAGACGAUCACCGCGGCCAACAAGAUAUGUCAUGGAUUCCUAUGGAAGGGGCAUCUCGAUGUGCAAGGUGGGCAUUGCCUGGUGGUCUGGGAUCGGGUGUGCACACCUAAGGAACUCGGGGGCCUUGGUGUGCCCAACCUGAGGCUGUUGAACGUUGCCCUGCGCACCCGAUGGCUGUGGCUUCAAAGAACUGACCCCCUCAGGCCUUGG